CAGACGAUGCGUCAUGCAUAUCAAUAAGCGGAGGAAAAGAAACUAACAAGGAUUCCCCUAGUAACAGCGAGUGAAGCGGGAAGAGCUCAAAUUUGAAAUCUUAAAGGGUUUCCCUUUACGAAUUGUAGUUUAAAGAAGUGUUUUCUGUUGAGGUUUUGGUAAAAGUUCUUUGGAAUAGGACAUCAUAGAGGGUGAGAAUCCCGUAUUUGACCUUUACUUUCAACUUUGUGAUACACUUUCAAAGAGUCGGAUUGUUUGGGAAUGCAGUCCAAAAUGGGUGGUAAAUUUCAUCUAAAGCUAAAUAUUGGCGAGAGACCGAUAGCGAACAAGUACCGUGAGGGAAAGAUGAAAAGAACUUUGAAAAGAGAGUUAAACAGUACGUGAAAUUGUCAAAAGGGAAGCGUUUGACACCAGUGUUGUUUUUCUGAAAAUCAAUUAAAGAACUGUUUAUGCUAAGUUGUUUAGACUUUAUCAGCUAAUCUGUUUAGUUUUGAGCUUUUCUUUAAUGCACUUUUCAGUUAACAAGUCAACAUCAAUUUCUUUUGCUGUAAAAAAGCUUGAGGAAGGUGGCUUGAGAUUCGUCUUAAGUGUUUAUAGCCUCUUGCCUAUGCAGUCGGAGAGAUUGAGGUCUGCAGCGUAGAUCCUUCGGGGCUAAAUGCAUUUGUGCUAAGUUAUAGCAUUUUAUAGACAACUUGUUGACUAUGAUUUGUCUUGUAGCUUACUCGCUUAUGUUAUUUACCUACGCUUAGGAUGUUGAAUCUGUGCGAGACUAC
rnacentral:rRNA from 1 species